UACUCGAGUGGCGAACGGGUGAGUAACACGUGGGUGAUCUGCCCUGCACUUCGGGAUAAGCUUGGGAAACUGGGUCUAAUACCGGAUAGGAGCCAUCUUUAGUGUGGCGGUUGGAAAGUUUUUCGGUGUAGGAUGAGCUCGCGGCCUAUCAGCUUGUUGGUGGGGUAAUGGCCUACCAAGGCGGCGACGGGUAGCCGGCCUGAGAGGGUGUACGGCCACAUUGGGACUGAGAUACGGCCCAG
rnacentral:rRNA from 1 species